rnacentral:rRNA from 1 species
AAGAAAGUUACUUAAGGGCACAUGAAGGAUGCCUUGACGUAAAGUACCGAUGAAGGACGUAGAAGGCUGCGAUAAGCCUCGGUGAGCUGUCAAUCAAGCUUUGACCCGGGGAUUUCCGAAUGGGGCAACCCAGCCGUGGUUAUACGCGGUUACUCAUAUCUGAAUAAAAUAGGAUAUGGAGAGGGCACGUGGUGAACUGAAACAUCUCAUUAGCCACAGGAAGAGAGAGAAACCUCAAUUCCCCUAGUAGCGGCGAGCGAACAGGGAAGAGCCAAAACCUUUUUACUUUUUGCCUCUUAUCGAGAUUACAAAUUGCCUGGAUCAAAGUGAAAAAUACGCCAGCGAGAAUGUUCGAGCGCUUAAAAAAGCGCGAGUUUCGCAGCUAAGUAUUUUUUACUGGACAGGUAAUACAUUUGUAAUUUGGAUAAGAGGUGAAUAAGCCGGCAGGCGAAUAGUAUUAGGGUGUUGUGAGAUAGAGACGACCAAUAAAGAGCGUUUGAGAGUUCUCAAACGGUCCUUAUUGCGACGGAACCUCUGCCGAGGACCGGUAAGGUAAGAAAGUUGAAAACUAGCGGAAGGAGUUGGAAUGCUCCGCCAAAGAAGGUGAAAGCCCCGUAGGCGAAAGUUUUCAGCCCUUAUAUCUCUAUUCUCGAGUAAGCCGGGACACGUGAAACCCUGGCCGAAUCUAGGAGGACCACCUCCUAAGGCUAAAUAUACUUUACGAUCGAUAGCGAACAAGUACCGUGAGGGAAAGGCGAAAAGAACCCCGGAAGGGGAGUGAAAUAGAACCUGAAAUCAUGUGCCUACAAUGAGUCGGAGCUGCGCUCUUCACUGAAAGUGAGAGCUGCACGUUCGCAGACAGCCACACGAGUCCUACCUUAUUCCGGUAGGUGCGUGGUGGCAGCUACAAAUAUCUGCGCAAUGCAGCGUUCGUCUUUAGUGAUGAGCGUGGUGACGGCGUGCUUUUUGUAGAACGAUCCAGCGAGUUAAUUUUGAAUGCGUUAGGUUAAGUCAUAUGACGGAGCCGUAGUGAAAGCGAGGCUUAAUAAGCCGACUUAGUAUUCAGGAUUAGACCCGAAACCGGGUGACCUAACCAUGGGCAGGUUGAAGCGCAGGUAAAACUGCGUGGAGGACCGAACCACCGACAGUUACAAAUGUCUUGGAUGACCUGUGGUUAGCGGAGAAAUUCCAAUCGAACUCGGAGAUAGCUGGUUCUCCUCGAAAUAGCUUUAGGGCUAGCGUCUGUUAACUACCUCCCGGGGGUAGAGCUCUGUUUAGGUAAUGGACCGCAAGGUUACUGAUCCUUGGCAAACUGCGAAUACCGGGAGAGACUAUUCAGGCAGUCAGAACGGCGGGGCUAAGCUCGUCGCUCAAAAGGGAAACAGCCCAGACCGCCAUCUAAGGUCCCCAAGUCUACGCUAAGUGGGAAACGAUGUGGGAAUGCAUAAACAACCAGGAUGUGGGCUUAGAAGCAGCCAUGCAUUUAAAGAGUGCGUAACAGCUCACUGGUCAAUUGUGAUCCUGCGCGGAAAAUAUAACGGGGCUCAAGCGUAGCACCGAAGAUGCGGAUUGUGUACGCAAGUACAUAGUGGUAGAGGAGCGUUCCUCGGGCAGUGAAGUCAGACUGGAAAGUCUGGUGGAGCGCGGGGAAGUGAGAAUGCUGGAAUAAGUAACUUUAAGGCAGGUGAGAAUCCUGCCCACCGUAAGAGCAAGGUUUCCUGGGCAACGAUUAUCGUCCCAGGGUUAGUCGGGCCUAAGCCGAGGCGAGUAGCGUAGGCGAUGGACAACGGGUUGAUAUUCCCGUACCGGCAAUGUUGUUCCCCCAUAUGACGCGGCGUGGUAACAAGAGCGAAUUUUUGGCUAUAUUCGUCUAAGCAGGUAGUCCCCUGCACAGUGCACUUCACGAGAUGGUCACGAUAGUGACAUAUUCCGAGUGGAGUGUAAUGUGCAGGGGGUGAGACGCGAAUGAAAGGCUUUAACCGGCUGAUUCUUGUGAGCCAAGCUGACCAGAAAAGUAAUGGGAUUAAUAGACAUAGCCGCCCGUACCGCAAACCGACUCCGGUGCUCGGUUCGAGUAGACCAAGGUGUACGAGAGAACCCUUCUUAAGGAACUCGGCAAUACAGCGACCGUAACUUCGGGAUAAGGUCUGCCUCCUUUUUGGAGGCCGCAGCAAAAGAGCCCAUGCGACUGUUUAUCAAAAACACAGGUCUGUGCUAAAUCGAAAGAUGAUGUAUACGGACUGACGCCUGCCCAGUGCUGGAAGGUUAAGUGGAGGGGUGCAAGCUCUGAAAUGAAGCCCCAGUAAACGGCGGCAGUAACUAUAACUGUCCUAAGGUAGCGAAAUUCCUUGUCGGGUAAGUUCCGACCCGCACGAAUGGCGUAACGACUUGGGCGCUGUCUCAACAAGGGCCUCGGUGAAAUUGCAAUAGCGGUAAAGAUGCCGUUUACCCGCACCAAGACGGAAAGACCCCAUGGAGCUUUACUACAACUUGGCAUUGGGCCGGGUUGAAGCUUGUGUAGAAUAGGUGGGAGGCUUUGAAGUCAGAGCGCUAGCUCUGGUGGAGCCGAAAUGUGAAAUACCACCCUUGUUUUAAUCUUGUCCUAACCAGUGCCGCAAUUUGCGGGUGAGACUGGCAAGACAAGUAAGCACCAUUUGAAUCUAUAACUAGAUUCUAAAUAAAUAGAUCUACCUUUAUAAGCGGUAGAUUUAUGUAGCUUUUUCCUAACUCAUGCAAAAUACUACAACCUUUUGCAACUUGUCUUGUUAGACUCUUCUCAUACGCAGGUUCCGGUACUGGAACAGUGUCUGGUGGGUAGUUUAACUGGGGCGGUUGCCUCCCAAAGUGUAACGGAGGCGUUCAAAGGUUGGCUAGGUACGGAUGGAAAUCGUAUCGAUAGUGCAAACGCAUAAGCCAGCUUGACUGUGAGGCCUACAAGCCGAGCAGGUACGAAAGUAGGAGUUAGUGACCCGCUGUAAAUUUGAAUGUGGAAUCUACAGCGCUCAACGGACAAAAGUUACCCUGGGGAUAACAGGCUUAUAGCGCCCAAGCGUCCACAGCGACGGCGCUGUUUGGCACCUCGAUGUCGGCUCGUCCCAUCCUGGGGGGGAAGCACCUCCCAAGGGUUUGGCUGUUCGCCAAUUAAAGGGGUACGCGAGCUGGGUUCAGAACGUCGUGAGACAGUUCGGUCUCUAUCUGGUGUGGGCGUAAGGAAAUUUGAGAGGAUUGGCUCCUAGUACGAGAGGACCGGAGUGAACGAACCUCUGGUGUAUCGAUUGUUCUGCCAAGGGCAUUGUCGAGUAGCUAUGUUCGGUCGGGAUAAGCGCUGAAAGCAUAUAAGCGCGAAACCCACCUCAAGAUUAGAUUUCCCUAUAGACUCCAUGUAGAUUACGUGGUUGAUAGGCACUAGGUGUACGCACAGUAAUGUGUUUAGCCGAGGUGUACUAAUAGUCGAUUGACUUUUUUAC